UGCCAGCCGCCGCGGUAAUACGGAGGGUGCAAGCGUUAAUCGGAAUUACUGGGCGUAAAGCGCGCGUAGGCGGUUGUUUAAGUCGGGGGUGAAAGCCCGAGGCUCAACCUCGGAACUGCCUUCGAUACUGGCGAUCUUGAGUCCGGGAGAGGUGAGUGGAACUCCGAGUGUAGAGGUGAAAUUCGUAGAUAUUCGGAAGAACACCAGUGGCGAAGGCGGCUCACUGGCCCGGUACUGACGCUGAGAUGCGAAAGCGUGGGGAGCAAACAGGAUUAGAUA
rnacentral:rRNA from 1 species